rnacentral:lncRNA from 1 species
CAUUAGGUAAACCCUUAUGUUUUUGUAGCAUAACCCUUAAAAAAUAUGAAUUUCCUGAACAAAUUCAGUAAACUAGCAAUUGUCACUCAAUGGAAAGACACAGUAGGGUACAUCAGAAUAUCACUCCUCUAGCACAAUCAGUAUUGCAUAAUGUGAACAUAAAUUCCAUAAUUCCAAAUUGAUAACAGUAUUAUUUUGCCAUCCCAAUUUGACAGAAAGUCGGACAAUCAGAUACUUGUUAAUUACAACUAAUGCCUAUAGGGCACUAGUAAGAUACAUCGACAGAUAGUAUCAAAGCAACUUAGCACAUUGACAUCUAAGGCCAACCUAGUCUUCAGAGACAAUAAAUGAUGGGACUAGACAUAGUCAGUUUUGAGUGAGAAAUAUUAUGAUAUCACCAAGUUCGAACAGCAGCUUUCAGAAGUUCAAAGAAAGAUCGAGGAAGGUCAAUGAAUAUUGACAUCUAAGCAAUGAACGACCAGAAGCUGCACUGUAAAUAACUGAGACACCGAUCAUAACUAGUAGUUUGAGGCACACAGUAUGGAAGCAACCAUAUUUAAAAAUUAAAUAGCACAUCAAUAUCACAGUUCUUGUGCCCUCCAUGAGGAAAAAUUGCAGAAAGCAAACAAAUGAAUAUAUAAUUAGAUGAACAGCUAUAGAGCCGAUUGAAUGCCAUACAUUUUCAAUUGCAGUCGAUGAACCAAAAUCAGGUGAUUUUCCUGGGCGGUAUGCUAAGAUACUCCAUAAUCCACGAGGAUUGCUUACCCAAAAAAGAAGAUAUUUAUCAGCAAGGAAAUAAAUUGAACUAAACAAAAAUUACGUGAAGAGAAAAAAAGUGACGAAGAGCAUCAUGUGGUAAGAACUCGAAAACAUCUGAGAAGCCUAAGUAUACCUGCUGCGCCUAUUUAUUUUCUCAUUAGCACUUUUUCUGCCUCGUCCUCUAGAAUAUUGACGUUGCUCACUAACUGGAGAGGUAGAACUACUGACAUCAUCUCCCUAGUAGCUCAAACAGAAGCCAAUGAGAUGCAAAUAAAAUUGAAAUUCAUAUGUAGAAAAUGAGUCAUUGUAAUAAGCAUAAUAAGGUACUGAUACAUGGAUAUGAAGAACACAUAAAAUUACAUGAAUGUUUUAAUUGCUCCCUCUUGGGAGGUUAUAAAGUUAGGGCAUUGGGCAUGAGUAAGUCUUCAGGAAACUCAUUCUUUCCAGUCGCUUUUUCUGCAAUACAUGAUUCCAUUGGUACUGCAGGCUACAGCUUAUGCAUAAUUUGCAGCUUCAGAACCCCUAAACUCAAUAGAGAACUUUUGCCAAGGGAGUUAAAUGUGUCGUCCAACAAACAACCACGAGUAGAGCAAUGACAGCCUCAACUAACUCAAUGAGAUAAAAAGCGGGAUGCUAUGCCUAUGUAACCUAGAGGUCUGUUUACAUACUGAUUUCAUUUUCUUGCUUUCCCAGUUUAGUUAUUUCUUCUUAUGUUUCAAAACAUUGAUCUAAUAUGUGUUUAUUUUUGGAGAAAAAUGACAUUCCGAUUACUCUUUUUAGGUGUGAAUAAUGUUGCUAGGCUGAUAGUUGAAAGAGUUUAAAUAACUUUGAUCUCUAUACGGGUAGCUCCUUAACAUUGC